rnacentral:rRNA from 1 species
AACAAGUACCGUGAGGGAAAGGUGAAAAGGACCCCUGUUAGGGGAGUUAAAAGUACCUGAAACCAAUUGCCUACAAGCGGUCGGAGCUAUUUUAUAUAGUGACGGCGUACCUUUUGUAUAAUGGGCCUAGGAGUCUAUAUCAGUUGCGAGCUUAAGCGUUUACGACGCGGAGGCGAAGCGAAAGCGAGUCUGAACAGGGCGAUAAGUAUCUGGUAUAGCACCCGAAGCGGAGGCGAUCUAGCCAUGACCAGGUUGAAGCAUCGGUAACACGAUGUGGAGGACCGAACCCAUUAACCUUGAGAAGUUACGGGAUGAGUUGUGGUUAGGAGUGAAAGGCUAAUCAAGCCCCGUAAUAGCUGGUUCUCUCCGAAAUAUAUUUAGGUAUAGCGUCAAAUGCUGACAACCGGGGGUAAAGCACUGAAAAGGCUAGGGUCCACACCAGGAUACCGAACCUUAUCAAACUCUGAAUACCGGUUGGAGAAGUUUGGCAGUCAGUCUGUGGGGGAUAAGCUUCAUAGGCGAGAGGGAAACAUCCCAGACCAUCGAAUAAGGUCCCAAAGACAACGCUAAGUGGUAAGAAGGAGGUAAAUUUUCUUAGACAAUGGGGAUGUUGGCUUAGAGGCAGCCAUCAUUUAAAAAGUGCGUAAUAGCUUACCCAUCGAGAGAAUUUGCGCCGAAAAUGAUCGGGACUAAAGUGUUGCACCGAAUUUGUGGAAUUUUGAAUUGGUAGGAGAGCGUUCCAACGACAUUGAAGGCAUCAAGGGAUUGGUGUUGGAGUUUUUGGAAGUGAUAAUCUAGGCAUGAGUAACGAUAAGUAUGGUCAAAAUCCAUACCGCCGUAAGGAUAAGGUUUCCUGGGGAAGGUUCGUCCGCCCAGGGUUAGUCGGGAGCUAAGGCGAGGCCGUAAGGAGUAGUCGAUGCACAGCAGGUUAAUAUUCCUGCACCGGCUCAUAAGUGUUUGACCCGUAUAUUGACAGAAGCAUGGAUGAGAGUGGGGUGAUGAACGUCCCUUUCGCGCAAGCGGAUCUCGAGGCUACGGCUGAGGGAGAUUUUCAGAAGUGAUUCUCGGGAAAAUUUAUACGGUUAAUUUAUGGGUUGCCCGUACCGCAAACCGACACAGGUAUCCGGGAUGAGUAUUCUAAGGCGCGUGAGUUAAAUCUCUCUAAGGAACUCGGCAAAAUUGCCCUGUAUCUUCGGUAGAAAGGGUGCCGCAGCGAUGCGGUCACAGUAAAGAGAUCCAACCGACUGUUUAUCAAAAACACAGCUCUCUGCAAAGUCGCAAGACGACGUAUAGGGAGUGACAUGUGACCAAUGCGGAAAGGUGAAAGCUGGUUGUGCAAGCUUCUGGUCUAAGCCCCCGUGAAUGUCGGCCGUAACUAUAACGGUCCUAAGGUAGCGAAAUUCCUUGUCGGGUAAGUUCCGACCUGCACGAAUGGUGUAAUGAUCUGGACACUGUCUCAACCGUGAGCUCAGUGAAAUUGUAGUAUCGGUGAAGAUGCCGAUUACCCGCGAUGGGACGAAAAGACCCCGUGAACCUUUACUAUAGCUUAACAUUGAAUUUGGGUAAUUGAUGUGUAGGAUAGGCCGGAGGCUUUGAAGCAGGUACGCCAGUAUUUGUGGAGCCGCUGUUGAAAUACGGCCCUUUGGUUAUUUGAGUUCUAACUCGUUGAUACGAGGACACUGUUUGGUGGGUAGUUUGACUGGGGUGGUCGCCUCCAAAAGUGUAACGGAGGCUUCUAAAGGUGCCCUCCGGCCGAUUGGUAACCGGCCUUAGAGUGUAAUGGCAUAAGGGCGCUUGACUGGGAGACUUACAAGUCGAUCAGGUAGGAAACUAGAGCAUAGUGAUCCGGUGUUUCCGUAUGGAAGGGACAUCGCUCAAAGGAUAAAAGGUACUCCGGGGAUAACAGGCUGAUCCCUCCCAAGAGCUCAUAUCGACGGAGGGGUUUGGCACCUCGAUGUCGGCUCGUCACAUCCUGGGGC